rnacentral:rRNA from 1 species
UGGGGAAUAUUGCACAAUGGGCGCAAGCCUGAUGCAGCCAUGCCGCGUGUAUGAAGAAGGCCUUCGGGUUGUAAAGUACUUUCAGUCGGGAGGAAGGUGGUAAGGUUAAUAACCUUGGCAAUUGACGUUACCGACAGAAGAAGCACCGGCUAACUCCGUGCCAGCAGCCGCGGUAAUACGGAGGUGGCAAGCGUUGUCCGGAUUUAUUGGGCGUAAAGCGAGCGCAGGCGGUUUCUUAAGUCUGAUGUGAAAGCCCCCGGCUCAACCGGGGAGGGUCAUUGGAAACUGGGAGACUUGAGUGCAGAAGAGGAGAGUGGAAUUCCAUGUGUAGCGGUGAAAUGCGUAGAUAUAUGGAGGAACACCAGUGGCGAAGGCGGCUCUCUGGUCUGUAACUGACGCUGAGGCUCGAAAGCGUGGGGAGCAAACAGG